rnacentral:rRNA from 1 species
UUCAGAGGGGGACAACAGUUGGAAACGACUGCUAAUACCGCAUACGAUCCAAUCUCGGCAUCGAGACUGGAUGAAAGGUGGCCUCUAUUUAUAAGCUAUCACUGAAGGAGGGGAUUGCGUCUGAUUAGCUAGUUGGAGGGGUAACGGCCCACCAAGGCGAUGAUCAGUAGCCGGUCUGAGAGGAUGAACGGCCACAUUGGGACUGAGACACGGCCCAG